rnacentral:rRNA from 1 species
UACCACAUCCAAGGAAGGCAGCAGGCGCGCAAAUUACCCACUCCCGGCACGGGGAGGUAGUGACGAAAAAUAACGAUACGGGACUCAUCCGAGGCCCCGUAAUCGGAAUGAGUACACUCUAAACCCUUUAACGAGGAUCAAUUGGAGGGCAAGUCUGGUGCCAGCAGCCGCGGUAAUUCCAGCUCCAAUAGCGUAUAUUAAAGUUGUUGCGGUUAAAAAGCUCGUAGUCGAAUCUGUGUCUCGUGCCGUCGGUUCAUCGCUCGCGGUGUUAACUGACGUGUCACGGGACGUCCUGCCGGUGGACUUAGCCUCUCGAGGCGGUCCAACUUGAAAUCCCACCGCGGUGCUCUUCACUGAGUGUCGAGGUGGGCCGGCACGUUUACUUUGAACAAAUUAGAGUGCUUAAAGCAGGCUAAAACUUCGCCUGAAUACUGUGUGCAUGGAAUAAUGGAAUAGGACCUCGGUUCUAUUUUGUUGGUUUUCGGAACCCCGAGGUAAUGAUUAAUAGGAACGGAUGGGGGCAUUCGUAUUGCGACGUUAGAGGUGAAAUUCUUGGAUCGUCGCAAGACGGACAGAAGCGAAAGCAUUUGCCAAAAACGCUUUCAUUGAUCAAGAACGAAAGUUAGAGGUUCGAAGGCGAUCAGAUACCGCCCUAGUUCUAACCAUAAACGAUGCCAGCUAGCGAUCCGCCGACGUUCCUCCGAUGACUCGGCGGGCAGCUUCCGGGAAACCAAAGCUUUUGGGUUCCGGGGGAAGUA